GACGUAGGGGGGCCAGCGUUGUUCGGAAUUACUGGGUGUAAAGGGUUCGUAGGCGGUGUGGCAAGUCGGGAGUGAAAUCUCUGGGCUCAACUCAGAGACUGCUUCCGAAACUGCUGUGCUGGAGUGUGGGAGAGGCGAGUGGAAUUCCUGGUGUAGCGGUGGAAUGCGCAGAUAUCAGGAGGAACACCAAUAGCGAAGGCAGCUCGCUGGGACGGGUAGUUGACGCUAAGGCGCGAAAGCGUGGGGAGCAAACAGG
rnacentral:rRNA from 1 species